rnacentral:tRNA from 1 species
GCCCGAGUGGCGGAAUUGGCAGACGCGGAGGUCUCAAAAACCUUUAUCGAAAGAUGUGUGAGUUCGAGUCUCACCUCGGGCACCA